UGCCAUGAAAGAUCUGCAUCUCUCGUAAUUUUAGGGGCUGAGACAAGAGAAUCAGCGCCUGAAAAGGGAAAUUGAGUCACUGCAGUGUAAGGUAUUUACGACGGCCUCCUUGAGUGAUGAACAGCUAUGUCUCUACACUGGCAUUCCUGCA